CGCAGCGCUCGUCCUUUCCCUGGGAUGCCCUGCUCCUCUCGUACCUGUGACCACCCCGCCACCGACUGACCAGCCAACACCAACCCGAGGAAAGGAGAGGCAAUGGAAGAAAAACACCGGGCGGCCGGAGAAGGAGGACGACUCCUCCCUCCUCCGCCACCAACUGCACAACCCCGCACGGAAAAGAUGAUGGAAAAGCGGCCAUCGUCGGUCCAUCCCGCAUCUCGCUGCCGCUUAAUUUUCCACCGGCACCGCCUACUUGUCCCGCGACCAUACGCUACGAACUCAUGGGCCUCGAAUAUCUUCCGUCUUCUCCAGAGCCCGGCUUUUGGAGAUUCCUCUCAUAAACUAACCGCAAGAUUGGAUGAAUCUUUGUUUUGUUUAUGUACACACAGAGUCACGGAGUCCACAGGCAUGGAUGAUACGGAUGGGCGCGUGAAUGAAUGCAUCGUGAGAAGUGAGAACCAGCUGUGUGUGGCGUAUCGUAUCUAAUCCAUGGCUCCAUGCAUGUAUAAGAAUAUGAUAUACUACUAGAGAAAAGCGAGAGACAUGCUGAUAUUUUUCUCCAUGCGGUAGCCAACGGUGUGGAGCCGAGCAUGGACAUGGUGGUGGUGGUGGUCAUUUUUACGACUACAGUUGUGCGCAAGUGGGGGCAGCCUCUCGCAACUGGACUAUUCGGAUUCCAUUUGCCUGCCUAUAAAUUCUCCGAGCCGCGAGCACUGCAGAUGCCAAACCACCCAACCUGCUAACCAAGCAAGGCAAAGUGAAGCAAAGCAGCUUGGAGAGGAGACCAGCGGAUACUGCCUGAAAUCCAAAGGAAGAAGGCCAAUCAACUCCCGAGACUUGAGAUCGAGCUAGUCCACUACCACACAGUAGCCGGCAAUGGCUUCCUCUUUGCUCCACUGCUCCGACAAGCUCCCGUUCAUGGACGUGGAGACCAUCCUCCACAUGAAAGAAGGCCUCGACGAGAGCAGCUACGCGCAGAACUCCUCGCUCCAGAAAAGGGGCAUGGACACCCUCAAGAGCCUCAUCAUCAACUCGGCGACGGACGUGUACAUCUCCCAGAUGCCGGAGAGGUUCACGGUGGCCGACCUCGGCUGCUCCUCGGGCCCCAACGCGCUCUGCCUGGUGGAGGACAUCAUCGGGGGCAUCGGCAAGGUCUGCUGCCGGUCGUCGCAGCCGCCGCCCGAGUUCUCGGUGCUCCUCAACGACCUCCCCACCAACGACUUCAACACCAUCUUCUUCAGCCUGCCGGAGUUCACCCACAGGCUCAAGUCCGCCGCCAAGUCCGACGAGUGGGGCCGGCCGAUGGUGUUCCUGUCCGGCGUGCCCGGGUCCUUCUACGGGAGGCUGUUCCCGAGGACCAGCGUGCACUUCAUCUGCUCCUGCUCCAGCCUGCACUGGCUCUCCCAGGUCCCGCCGGGCCUCUUCGACGAGGCCAAGGCGCCGAUCAACAAGGGGAAGAUGUACAUAUCGAGCACGAGCCCGCCCGCCGUGUCAGUGGCCUACCGGAGGCAGUUCCAGAGGGACUUCAGCCUGUUCCUCAAGUCGCGCGCCGCCGAGGUCUUCCCCGGCGGGCGGAUGGUUCUGGCCAUGCUCGGCCGGCAGACCGACGAGUGCGUCGACAGGAGGACGACCUUCCUGUGGGAGCUCCUCUCCGAGUCCUUCGCCGCGCUCGUGUCACAGGGGCUCGUGGAGCAGGACAAGGUGGACGCCUACAACGUGCCCUUCUACGCGCCGUCGCUGCAGGAGAUCGAGGUGGAGGUGCGGCUGGAGGGGUCCUUCAGCCUCGACUACGUGCAGACGUACGAGAUCAACCUCAGCAGCAGCGGCGACGCCAAGGAGGACGGCAGGACGGUGUCCAUGGCGAUCAGGGCCAUCCAGGAGUCCAUGCUCAGCCACCACUUCGGCCCGGACAUCGUCGACGCGCUGUUCCACGAGUACACGCAGCUCGUCACCGAGUCCAUGGAGAGGGAAGAGGUCAAGAGCGUCCAGAUAGGGGUAGUCCUCACCAGGUUGUGA
rnacentral:rRNA from 1 species